rnacentral:rRNA from 1 species
CAGCCGCCGCGGGAAUACAGAGGGUGCGAGCGUUAAUCGGAUUUACUGGGCGUAAAGCGUGCGUAGGCGGCUGAUUAAGUCGGAUGUGAAAUCCCUGAGCUUAACUUAGGAAUUGCAUUCGAUACUGGUCAGCUAGAGUAUGGGAGAGGAUGGUAGAAUUCCAGGUGUAGCGGUGAAAUGCGUAGAGAUCUGGAGGAAUACCGAUGGCGAAGGCAGCCAUCUGGCCUAAUACUGACGCUGAGGUACGAAAGCAUGGGGAGCAAACAGGAUUAGAUACCCCCGUAGUCCCUGUCUCUUAUAC